rnacentral:rRNA from 1 species
UCGCAAGACCUCUCACUAUAGGAGCGGCCGAUAUCGGAUUAGCUAGUUGGUGGGGUAAAGGCCCACCAAGGCGACGAUCCGUAGCUGGUCUGAGAGGAUGAUCAGCCACACUGGAACUGAGACACGGUCCAGACUCCUACGGGAGGCAGCAGUGGGGAAUUUUGGACAAUGGGGGCAAGCCUGAUCCAGCCAUUCCGCGUGAGUGAAGAAGGCCUUCGGGUUGUAAAGCUCUUUUGGCAGGAAAGAAAUGGUUCGUAUUAAUACUUCGGAUGGAUGACGGUACCUGAAGAAGAAGCACCGGCUAACUACGUGCCAGCAGCCGCGGUAAUACGUAGGGUGCAGGCGUUAAUCGGAAUUACUGGGCGUAAAGCGUGCGCAGGCGGUUUGUUAAGUGAGAUGUGAAAUCCCCGGGCUUAACCUGGGAACUGCGUUUGAAACUUGGGAGACUUGAGUGUGUCAGAGGGGGGUGGAAUUCCACGUGUAGCAGUGAAAUGCGUAGAUAUGUGGAGGAACACCGAUGGCGAAGGCAGCCCCCUGGGCUAACAC